GCGCGAUUGGCGCAGUUGGUUAGCGCGCUUCCCCGACACGGAAGAGGUCACUGGUUCGAGUCCAGUAUCGCGCA
rfam:Enteractinococcus sp. TASWS1574 117, whole genome shotgun sequence.